GGCCCUUUUUGGUGUAGUGUUUCCUCAUGUUUCUUAUAAACACCGAUUACAAAUGUUGGAUCACUUUGCCGAAUGUGUUAAACAAGCUAAAGGUGUCCGCCAGCAAGCUGUGCAGCUUAACAUAUUUACUGCUGUUCUUAGUGCACUAAAGGGCUUAGCUGAAAACAAAAGUACUUUAGGACCUGAGGAAGUUCGUAAAUCUGCUCUGACACUGGUUAUGGGUCCUCUGGACAACCCAAACCCCAUCUUACGUUGUGCGGCCGGGGAAGCUCUUGGAAGAAUGGCUCAGGUGGUUGGAGAAGCAACUUUUAUUGCUAGAAUGGCCCAAUAUAGCUUUGACAAGUUGAAAUCGGCUCGAGAUGUUGUAUCUAGGACUGGUCAUUCAUUGGCUCUUGGUUGUUUGCAUCGUUAUGUUGGUGGAAUAGGCUCAGGACAACAUCUGAAGACCAGUGUCAGCAUUUUAUUGGCUCUAGCACAAGAUGGGACAUCCCCUGAAGUCCAGGUAUAAUACUGGUUUUUUUAUUACAAAAGUUUAGAAAAUUUUUUGGAAAAUUAUUUGCUCUAUGAAAUAAAAAUGACCGUGGUAAGUUGUUAGGACAAAUAUAUUA
rnacentral:sRNA from 1 species